UACGUAGGGGGCUAGCGUUGUCCGGAUUUAUUGGGCGUAAAGAGCGUGUAGGCGGCCAGGUAGGUCUGCUGUGAAAACUCGAGGCUCAACCUCGAGACGUCGGCGGAAACCAUCUGGCUAGAGUCCGGAAGAGGAGAGUGGAAUUCCUGGUGUAGCGGUGAAAUGCGCAGAUAUCAGGAGGAACACCAAUGCGAAGGCAGCUCGCUGGGACGUUACUGAGCUGAGACGCGAAAGCGUGGGGAGCAAACAGG
rnacentral:rRNA from 1 species